rnacentral:lncRNA from 1 species
UGUUAAACCAGCAUGCCCAGUAGCAGUCAGGAUAGUUCCAGAAACAAAUGAGUUUCAUUUGGUACAAAAACUGAAUCGUACCUCAUAUUUUUUGUUAGUAAACAGUUACGCUUUUAGACUCUGUAAUUUUUUCAUGUUUCUUUGAAAGUAGGUCUUGCCAAUGGAUUUUUUCUUUGAGGUUUUAGUUCAUUUCAGCCAAAUCUGUAUAGAGUGCUGUAAGCAGUUUGACUCGAUGCAGACAAUUUUAAAACCAUUGUUCUAUUUUAGCAGAACACAGACUUAAUGGGCUGGAUGCUGGUUAAAAGACAGACCUCAAAUGUUGUCGUGACUGCACUGAAACAGGGUUGUUUGUGGAACGGAUGUACAGCAAGUGCCAUCAGGUUUAACCAUAUUCAGCACUAACCUGGAGGACUCAACUGGGAAAGCUGCUCGUCAAAAACACAUUGAAAUGGAGACAAAAAGAGAUAUGAAUUACCGGGUGUGUAACGAGAUUAAUUGAAGAAAAGUCUGGAGGGAAUUUUACAGAUGUCCUAGUCAUGAGAAACUUUGCAAAAAGCUUGUGAAGCUGCCCACAGAUUUGAAGCUGUGAGAAAUCUGAAAUGCCACAGAUGACUAUGACGCUACUUAAAAUUGCUGAGGUUAAUGGACUGCAUGGUCUUCUGUCUUAUCUGCUGGAGAACUACUUUGGACUGAAUCAAGAUAUAAAAAAAAUUACCAAAUAUCAUGAAACUAAUGUCAUGGGCAUAAGAGCUGGUAGACAGCAACAGCUACAAAGAGUAGAAGUCUACGUUCAAAACAGUCUUGUCAAAAAAAGGUUUUGAACUUUAAGCCCCUUCCUUUCCUUUUCCUCUGGGAAGUGUAGAUGACAGCAUUUGAAUUUUAUCCUGGAUAUACAAAUAUGUAUGUUGUAAUAAAGUCCUGUGAACAUUUAUACA